rnacentral:rRNA from 1 species
CCUACGGGAGGCUGCAGUGGGGAAUAUUGCACAAUGGGCGCAAGCCUGAUGCAGCCAUGCCGCGUGUGUGAAGAAGGCCUUCGGGUUGUAAAGCACUUUCAGCGGGGAGGAAGGCGGUGAGGUUAAUAACCUCAUCGAUUGACGUUACCCGCAGAAGAAGCCCCGGCUAACUCCGUGCCAGCAGCCGCGGUAAUACGGAGGGUGCAAGCGUUAAUCGGAAUUACUGGGCGUAAAGCGCACGCAGGCGGUCUGUCAAGUCGGAUGUGAAAUCCCCGGGCUCAACCUGGGAACUGCAUUCGAAACUGGCAGGCUAGAGUCUUGUAGAGGGGGGUAGAAUUCCAGGUGUAGCGGUGAAAUGCGUAGAGAUCUGGAGGAAUACCGGUGGCGAAGGCGGCCCCCUGGACAAAGACUGACGCUCAGGUGCGAAAGCGUGGGGAGCAAACAGGAUUAGAUACCCCUGUAGUC